UGAGAGGAAGGUACAGAGAUUUCCCAUGUUUCCCGGUCCUUGUGCCUGUACAGCCUCCCUUAUCAUCAACAUCCCUCGCCAGAUGGCACAUUUGUGACAACUGAUGACUCUACAUUGGCAUAUCAUAAUUGCCCAACUCCAAUUUACGUUAGGGUUUACAGUCGAUGUUGUAUAUUCUAUAGGUUUCGACAAGCAUAUGAUGACAUGUAUCCAUCACUACGGUAUCAUAAAGACUUAAUAUUCCAUUGUCUGAUUAUACCAGUUUGUUUAUCCACUCACCUACUGAAGGACAUCUUGGUUGCUUCCAAAUUUUGGCAGUUAUGAAUACAAUGCUCUAAGUGUUUGUAUGCAGGGUUUUGAGUGGAUAUAAAUUGGUAAAUAUUAAGUAAGUACUUAGUUACAUCAGGUAAAUUACAAGACAGGCACUUGCUAGGUCAUGUGGUUAAGAGUGUGUUUAGUUUUGUAAGAAACUGCCAACAUGUCUUCUAAAGUGGCUGGACCAUUUCAUGUUCCCAUCAGUUUGAGAGUUCCUCACCCCCAGUAUUUUAGUUGUUAUUUUUUAACAGGAGUAAAUUGGGUCCAUAGGUUAAAAGAAGCUUAAACAGGGCAAAAGUAUAUGAAAUAAAAAUGAAAUCUUCCUCCUAUCCUAAACUCCUAGGACCCAGACUCCAGUUUUCUUCCCCAGAGGCAGCUUCUGCGGCCAAUUUUUUGUGUUUGUGCAAAUACAAACAUAUAUACUUGUAUGUUUCUGUGUAUUCCUCUCCUUUUUUUUAAUCAUGAAAAAGUGCAGGGUAUUUCUGGCCAUAUACCCAAGAGUGGAAUUGCUGGAUCAUAGGGUAAAACUAAAAAUAAACUACCCUGUGAUCCAGCAAUUCCAUUCCUUGGUAUAUAGCCAGAAAAAAAAAUGAAAACACUAACUUGAAAAGAUCCAUGCAUCCCCAUGUUCAUAAGAGCACUACUUACAAUAGCCAAGACAUGGGAGUAACCCAAGUGCCCACCAAUAGACUGGAUAAAGAAAAUGUGAUAUGUGUGUGUAUGUGGCUGUAAUGAUAGCACUUAUAUGUAGAAUCUAAAAAAUAAUACUGGAGUUCCCCUCGUGGCACAGUGGUUAACGAAUCCGACUAGGAACCAUGAGGUUGCAGGUUUGGUCCCUGGCCUUGCUCAGUGGUUUAAGGAUCCGGUGUUGCCGUGAACUGUAGUGUAGGUCGCAGAUGCGGCUCGGAUCCCACAUUGCUGUGGCUCUGGCGUAGGCCGGCAGCUACAGCUCAGAUUAGACCCCUAGCCUGGGAUCCUCCAUAUGUGGUGGGGAAAGGCCCUAGAAAAGACAAUAAAUAAAUAAAUUAAUAAUANUAAAAAAAUACAAAUGAGUGUAUAUACAAAACAAAAACAGACUCACAGAUAGAGAAAGUAAACUUGUAGUUACCAAAGGGAAGACAGACAAAUUAGGGGGGUAUGGGAUUAACAGAAACAAACUACUAUGCAUAAAAUAGAUAAGCAACAAAGGUAAAUUGUAUAGCACAGGAAAUUUUAGGUGUUAUCUUAUAAUAACUUGUAAUAUAGUCUGCAAAAAUACUUAAUCCUAUGCUGUAUGCUUGAAACUAAUAUAGUACUGCAAAUCAAUGAUACUUCAAUAAAAAGAGACCAUGUUGGAGUUCCCAUCAUGACUCAGUGGAAACAAAUCUGACUAGCAUCUGGAUGCAGGUUAAAUCCCUGGCCUUGCUCAAUGGGUUAAGGAUCCAGCAUUGCCGUGAGCUGUGGUGUAGGUCACAGGCACAGCUUGGAUUUGGCGUUGUUGUAGCUGUGACAUAGACCAGUGUUUAUAGUUCCAAUUUGACCCCUAGCCCAGGAACCUCCGUAUGCCACUGGUGAGGACCUAAAAAAAAAAAGAGAGGGAGACCAUGUUAUACCCAUUUUAGUUUAUGUAUAGCUUUUUUUUUUUUAAGCAAUGAUUUCCACCCAUAGGAUCCUAAGAAUCUUAAGACAGCACUGAGGGUUGUCAGUCACUUGAUUCUAUCCUGAAACCAAAGUUCAGAAUCAUUUCACUUAACAAAGAUAAAGAAAAUGGCUAACCAAGCUCAUCUUUUGGCCACUGCCCUAACUUUUCCUUCUCAGAUCCCAUCAAUUCUCCAGAGACAGGCAAGAUGCUGCAUCCUGCCUGGUCUAGGAGUCCCAGCCCAUGGUGUAGUAACCAUUGUAAUGUUCUUCUCACCAUUUAUUCAGGUCAUCCACCCAAAAAACCAGCGAUCCCCUCAUCACUUCCUCUUAGAAUCUUCACUGGAUUAAUCCACUUUGUUCCCUUACUAUCCCUUUCUUUUCUUCGUAGGUCUGUAUACCAUGCAUACUAACCAAAAUAUAACACCUAAUUUCUUUUUGGCAGCUUCUUGCCUAGUCCUCUCUGUAAGUCAGUUGUUCACAAAAUAUGAUGCUUUCUCUGAAAUGGUUUUAGGGAACACUACCUAGUGUUAGAAAACCAGAUGUCAAGGUUCUGGAGGAUCCUUGAGGUCCAAAUUAUUUCCUUAUUCCUCAGAAUUAGAAGAUGCCCUCUCUCUCUCUGUGCAGACUCACCCACCUCUGAUCUUUCCUGUUUGACAAGUGCUUGGCUCCAGAAUUUUAGCAACAAACUUUCCAGAGACAUAAGAAAAUAUGUACUAACAGAAAUUGACAGAACAUUGUAAAUCAACUGU
ensembl:lncRNA